UUUGCGUGUUCACUACUGCUAAUGUGUAAACUAACUUAGAUGGGUUAAGUGCAGAGGCCAAAUUCCGAGUACUUGGCCUUCACUGUCACUAAAGUCAAAUUUUUUGUAAUUUUGGCUUCAUCUCAGAUGAAAAUAGUACAAGAAAUUACUUGUCACAGACAAAGUUGACAUUUUUAUGGACGAUCUUAUAGUUGAACACCUCCAGAGGGACAACGCAAAAAGAGUCGCAAUUCAGACGCCCCUAGAAACCGAACCUAGAACUGAACUGGUUAGAUGCUCCGCUGGCGACCUUGGAUUGACGUCUUGCAUCUUUAAUCUAAAGAUGAUGUUAUAGUUUUCCCAAAGGAGAAUACAAAUGUAUCAGAACCUCUUCCACCCAAAUAUCAGCCAUUCUCCAAUAUUCAUCCUCUUGACAAGGCAAAAGCAUCACUGCCAGAGUCCGGACAAUCAAGUGCGUCACAACCCCUUCAAGCUGCCUCACAGCUCCUCUUAGAAGAGCCCCAGUGUUCUUCUGAAGCAGCAACAAAGAACUAUCGCACAAAAGUAUUGCAAAAACUGCAAGAGAUUGCAGAAAACCAGCAAGACAUCCUGGCCUUGCAAAGAAGUCUACUGGCUGCUGUGGCUGUGACAGUGACAGAGGAAGGGGAGGAUGUCCUGGAAAAUGGACCAUGCCAGACUGUGGAAGAACUACUAAAUCUUUCCACAGAACUGGGCACUAAAGAAAAAAGGACCAAGCUGGUAAUACAUUUGCAAGACACUUAAAUGUACACCUAUCUCUACCGGAAAGAAGAUAAUUAUUUUGCAAAACUGUGUGUUCUGUGUGGCAGCUUUACAACUAUUGGGUUAUUCACAAAAACGCACUUAGCACGAUCGCACACAGCUGUGUUUUAAGGGCUGUAAGAGUCGCUGUCCAUUUAUAAAUAUGUCCAGUAAUUUUUAAAUCUUUGUACUUUGCUAAUAUCCUUCAAACCACUUGGUCUACCCAUUUGUCUCUCUCUCUGUCUCUCUCAGUCUCUCUCUCUCUCUCUCUCUCUCUCUCUCUCUCUCUCUCUCUCUCUCUCUGUCUCUCUCUCUCACUCUCUCUGUCUCUCUUUGUCUCUCUCUCUGUCUCUCUCUGUCUCUGAGCUGUAGUCUUGCGCUGAAGUCUCGCUCCUCCCACCUGGACACUAUUUACCAAUCCCGGCUACAACUGAGUUCCCACGUGAGUCCAGGUGGGAGGAGCGAGACUUCAGCGCGAGACUACAGCUUGCCGUCUAAAACACUAUUUAGGUGAAUUUAAACCAUGGCUAAGUUGCUAAACGCAACUCGUUCACAGGUAAGGCCCCUGUUCAUGUUGGACAGACAUUUUAAUUGCAUUUUGUGUCUGUUAAGAGGCACAAAAACGCUCUUUAUGUUAUGCCCCCAUAGCUGCCGUUUUAGCUGAGUGGGAGCUCUGGGCAUUCGCUGUCGCAGCUCCGCAUCGCAAGCACCAAUCCGGUUCGUUUUUUUUUCUAUAGACAGUACUCACAAAGGUCUAAUGAUCAAGAUUAACUUAAAAAUUGCCCGGAGUUCUCCUUUAAGAGCCAAGUAAAAACUAUAAUUGCAAUAAAUAUGUUUCACAAGAAAAUGUAGUAUUUGAUCAGGUGUUGUUGCAAAUUAAUAACAAAUAUUAAACAUUUAAAUGUGAGUUCGCUCUCUUUCUCUCUCACUUUCUCUCUCUAAAAAUGUUUAACACAUCGACAACACAUCGACAUUGGCUUCAACAUUUCCUUUCAAACAAACAAAAUCUUUCAGCUGUUAUCAUAAUGGCAUUAUUCUAAAUAACAGUGUUAUAUAUUAUGACUCUUUGUGUUUGUUUGUUUGUUUUUUUGUUUUUUUAACAGAUGAACUACCUUCGAUCCCUGGGAGGAACAAACCCAGGGCAGCCGUGCGCAAAAUGUUGCGCAAGGUUGCAUCAAACCCAGUAUUGAGUAACUUCAGUUUGAAGGGAAAAAAAGGCAAACUAGCCUUUAAAGACUUGACCAUCUGUGAUU